AAUCAACGCUGGCGGCGUGCCUAACACAUGCAAGUCGGACGUGAAAGGGGUUUCGGCCCUGAGUAGCGUGGCGGACGGGUGAGGAACGCGUGGGUGACCUGCCCUGCAGAGGGGGAUAACCCUCCGAAAGGGGGGCUAAUACCGCAUGAGCCCGAGAGGGGAAAGACGGUGAGUCGCUGCGGGAGGGGCCUGCGUCCGAUUAGCUGGUUGGUGGGGUAAGAGCCCACCAAGGCGACGAUCGGUAGCCGGUCUGAGAGGACGGACGGCCACACUGGGACUGAGAUACGGCCCAGACUCCUACGGGAGGCAGCAGUGGGGAAUAUUGCACAAUGGGCGAAAGCCUGAUGCAGCAACGCCGCGUGCGGGAUGACGGCCUUCGGGUUGUAAACCGCUUUCAGCAGGGACGAAGCGCAAGUGACGGUACCUGCAGAAGAAGCACCGGCUAACUACGUGCCAGCAGCCGCGGUAAACAACUCGUA
rnacentral:rRNA from 1 species